rnacentral:rRNA from 1 species
UCCUACGGGAGGCAGCAGUGGGGAAUCUUGGGCAANGGGCNAAANCUUGAUCCANCCAGCGGNGNGUGUGAAGAAGGCCCUCGGGUGGUAAAGCACUUUCAGCGAGGAGGAAAGCCUAGUGGUUAAUACCCANUAGGAAAGACAUCACUCGCAGAAGAAGCACCGGCUAACUCGGUGCCAGCAGCCGCGGUAAUACGGAGGGUGCAAGCGUUAUUCGGAAUUACUGGGCGUAAAGCGCGCGUAGGUGGCUUGAUAAGCCGGUUGGGAAAGCCCCGGGCUCAACCUGGGAACGGCAUCGGGAACGGUCAGGUUGGAGUCCAGGAGAGGAAGGUGGAAUUCCCGGUGUAGCGGUGAAAUGGUNAGAGAUCGGGAGGACCCCCAUGGGGGAGGGNGGCNUUUGGGACUGACACUGACACUGAGGUGGAAAAGCAGGGGAACCAACCAGGAUNAGAUCCCCGGUUAUUCCACCCCUAAACGAAUGUCGAUCAGCNGGUGGGUAUCUAGUGCUUCNGGCGNANUAACGCANUAAGUNCCNCC